AUACGAAAGCUGCAAGCGUUGUUCGGAUUUACUGGGCGUAAAGAGAGUGUAGGUGGUUUAUUAAGUCGGAUGUGAAAUCCCGGGGCUCAACCUCGGAACUGCAUUCGAUACUGAUAGGCUAGAGUUUGGGAGGGGUAAGCGGAAUUCCGUGUGUAGCAGUGAAAUGCGUAGAUAUACGGAGGAACACCUGAGGCGAAGGCGGCUUACUGGACCAAUACUGACACUGAGACUCGAAAGCGUGGGUAGCAAACAGGAUUAGAAACCCCAGUAGUCC
rnacentral:rRNA from 1 species